CGUUCCCGGGCCUUGUACACACCGCCCGUCACACCAUGGGAGUUUGGUUCUACCCGAAGGCGUUUUUGCUAACCGCAAGGGGGCAGACGACCACGGUAGGGUCAGCGACUGGGGUG
rnacentral:rRNA from 1 species